rnacentral:rRNA from 1 species
GACGAACGCUGGCGGCGUGCCUAAUACAUGCAAGUCGAACGCACUCUCGUUUAGAUUGAAGGAGCUUGCUCCUGAUUGAUAAACAUUUGAGUGAGUGGCGGACGGGUGAGUAACACGUGGGUAACCUGCCCUAAAGUGGGGGAUAACAUUUGGAAACAGAUGCUAAUACCGCAUAAAACCUAACACCGCAUGGUGUAGGGUUGAAAGAUGGUUUCGGCUAUCACUUUAGGAUGGACCCGCGGCGCAUUAGUUAGUUGGUGAGGUAAAGGCUCACCAAGACCGUGAUGCAUAGCCGACCUGAGAGGGUAAUCGGCCACACUGGGACUGAGACACGGCCCAGACUCCUACGGGAGGCAGCAGUAGGGAAUCUUUCCACAAUGGACGAAAGUCUGAUGGAGCAACGCCGCGUGAGUGAAGAAGGUUUCGGAUCGUAAAACUCUAGUUGUUGGAGAAGAAUGUAUCUGAUAGUAACUGAUCAGGUAGUGACGGUAUCCAACC